rnacentral:lncRNA from 1 species
GGGACACCUGGGGACACUGAGCUGCUGCUGAGUUACUGAGAUGAGCCAGCCCUGCAGCUGCGCCCAGCCUGCCCCAUCCCCUGCUCAUUUGCAUGUUCCCAGAGCAUAGCCUCCUGCCCUGAAGCCUUAUUAAUAGGCUGGACACACUUCAUGGAGGAAUCAGUCCCACUCAGGACACAGCAUGGACAUGAGGGUCCCUGCUCAGCUCCUGGGGCUCCUGCUGCUCUGGUUCCCAGGUGCCAGAUGUAACAUCCAGAUGACCCAGUCUCCAUCUGCCAUGUCUGCAUCUGUAGGAGACAGAGUCACCAUCACUUGUCGGGCGAGGCAGGGCAUUAGCAAUUAUUUAGCCUGGUUUCAGCAGAAACCAGGGAAAGUCCCUAAGCACCUGAUCUAUGCUGCAUCCAGUUUGCAAAGUGGGGUCCCAUCAAGGUUCAGCGGCAGUGGAUCUGGGACAGAAUUCACUCUCACAAUCAGCAGCCUGCAGCCUGAAGAUUUUGCAACUUAUUACUGUCUACAGCAUAAUAGUUACCCU